CAGGGUGACGAUUUGCUUCGGUUUCCGGACAGCUCAGCUGGGAUCAGGGGACCCCUCCAAGGUGCCAGGUGACAGCCAAGCAGCUCCUGCUCCAGCCCAGAGUCCAGGAAAGAGCUCAGGGUCUCCAGGUUGUGCUCCAGGGAGGAGGAUGCUCUGCGGUUCCCCCAUCCACUGCUCUCUGCCGGCUUUUGUCAUUUCCACUUUAGUUUUCCAAGUUCCUCAGGGGCACUCAGCUCCACUCACCGUCACUGCACCCCCC